rnacentral:rRNA from 1 species
GCUAAUACCGGAUAACAACAGAUGAUGCCUAUCAACUGUUUAAAAGAAUGGUUCUGCUAUCACUCUUGGAUGGACCUGCGGUGCAUUAGCUAGUUGGUAGGGUAACGGCCUACCAAGGCGAUGAUGCAUAGCCGAGUUGAGAGACUGAUCGGCCACAUUGGGACUGAGACACGGCCCAAACUCCUACGGGAGGCAGCAGCC